GACGAACGCUGGCGGCGUGCUUAACACAUGCAAGUCGAGCGGUAAGGCCCUUUCGGGGGUACACGAGCGGCGAACGGGUGAGUAACACGUGGGUGACCUGCCUCUAGCUCUGGGAUAAGCCCGGGAAACUGGGUCUAAUACUGGAUAUGACUCCAUGACGCAUGUUGUGGGGUGGAAAGCCUUGUGCGGCUAGAGAUGGGCCCGCGGCCUAUCAGCUUGUUGGUGGGGGAUGGCCUACCAAGGCGACGACGGGUAGCCGGCCUGAGAGGGCGACCGGCCACACUGGGACUGAGACACGGCCCAGACUCCUACGGGAGGCAGCAGUGGGGAAUCUUGCGCAAUGGGCGAAAGCCUGACGCAGCGACGCCGCGUGAGGGAUGACGGCCUGGU
rnacentral:rRNA from 1 species